GGGCCCGUGGCUUAGACUGGUUAUAGCACCGCUCUGAUAAGGCGGGGGUCGCGUGUUCAAAUGCUUUGGUGUCUGCACCUUCGCUGGAACUCACGCCGGGCCCACCA
rnacentral:tRNA from 2 species